GCCGGGGCCGGAAAGGAAAGCCACGUCCAGAUAGGCACAGACAGGGAGACUAACAGGAGACACUGGGAGGGAGAACAUAGACACAAGGGGUAGGGAGGAGAACAGUAGACUCAUAACAUUUUGGGCCUCAGACAGCUUUUUAAAUGAAACCAUCUGAGAAGAGGAGUGAAGAAAUGUUUUGGUGGAACUGCUGAAAUCUCAGAGACAUCUGAAAUAUGACAAGGGGGGAUCCCUGGCAGGCAUCAAAUUUGACGUUGAGUGCUACUUCCCCUAAUGUCUCCGCCUCCAGUACAGCGCUGAUAAACAAGAUCUGCUGGAGCAAAUGAGCUGAAUCCAUCAACCUAUCAUUACCUAAGAGUGUCUUCCAAUGAGUUCACCAUCACCUUGUUGACCUUUAAAGUCCCCAGCUCCACUCUGAAGUGAAAACAUCAGUGCAUGGUUAUUUUAUAAAAAUGUAUUUGGAUGGAGGCAGUAAAUAAAACCCCAACCUUAAUUGCUAGAUACCAAGAAUGGGAUCUAGCAUGCUGGUGAGGAAGGCCAGUGUUCUGUGUCCUUUUUCUGUUACCAGAAUCUCCUGCUGGGUUACCUGCAGAGCUCCAGUCUUCACCAGCAGCUCCAGGACAAAGGAUGAACUCAUUGGAGAACACGUUUCUUAGAAAGCUGAAACUGUUGAAGACCUCCUCUGGAAGAAAAAAUAAUCAUUAACAAGCAGGAAACACCUGUGUAAUAGGUGGAUUGUUAGUGUAAAAAAGGGUGAGCUCAGCCAGUGUUGAAUUCCUUGACACAAAAAUCUGCUGCAUGUAUCGUGUGCCUUUGUGUUACACACACUUACACAUGAAAACCAUCUAUUAUGCAGUGGCUAUGAAAGGAAUUCAUCUAAUUGUCUAUGAAAAAAUGUUUUAUCAAGUACUAAGUUACGUUAGUAACUCACGCUUAUGCUCUCUCUGGGCUGUAUUGUUAAACAUAAUGAGAACAGGAAGAGGGUGACACAUUUAAACAGGUAAACAGAAAUGUCAGUCUUACGCUUGUUGUUAGAGGAGGCAGUGUGGAUGGCUGAUGCCAGCAGAGCAGGUCUGAGAAAGACAUGCAGUGCCUGGUUUCUGUAGGAGGCACAGGAGAGUAUGAUGACCGCCUGGCUCAGGAGCUCCUCUUCUGGAGUGAUGAUGCUGUGAGCGCCCCCUGGCCCCACUUGUCCUCCUGCUUCAAAACAAAGCUUAAAGUUAGAAGACGGCAAAACAGUUCCUUUUUAUCAUUUCCUGCAACCUUUACUCUAACCUAUGUGCUAUUCAUAAGCAGUAUAUAAUAAUUUAAUAAAUGGUUUAUAAGACAUUACAUGUAAUGGUUAGCAGACAUGUGUUAAUAACGCUUUUUAGGACACUUUCUUAGCACAGCUAAACUACUUACAAUCACAAGAAAUGUGUAUUGAAAAUACUGGACUGUACGCUGCUCUAUGUGUAUGUACUCUGUAACUUUGUA